rnacentral:rRNA from 1 species
GAUGAACGCUAGCUACAGGCUUAACACAUGCAAGUCGAGGGGCAGCGGUAUCGAAAGCUUGCUUUCGGUAGCCGGCGACCGGCGCACGGGUGAGUAACGCGUAUCGAACCUGCCUCAUACUCGGGAAUAGCCUUGCGAAAGUAAGAUUAAUGCCCGGUGUUUUCAGAGUCCCGCAUGAGGCUUUGAACAAAGAUUUAUCGGUAUGAGAUGGCGAUGCGUCCCAUUAGCUUGUUGGCGGGGUAACGGCCCACCAAGGCAUCGAUGGGUAGGGGUUCUGAGAGGGAGGGCCCCCAAAUUUGAACCGGGGCACCGGCCAAACUCCUACCGGAGGCAGGCGUGAGGAAAAAUGGGCAAAGGGCGGGAGCCUGAACCAGCCAAGUUGCGGGCAGGAAGACCGGCCUUCGGGUUUUAAACUUCUUUUUGUUGGGAAUAAAACGGGGCUCGUGAGCCCCCUUGCAUGUACCAUCAGAAAAAGGACCGGCUAAUUCCGUG